GAGCCAGUGGCCUAGUUUGGAUAAGGCAGCAGCCUCCUAAGUUGCAGAUCGGGAGUUCAAAUCUUCCCUGGCUCG
rnacentral:tRNA from 1 species